rnacentral:rRNA from 1 species
UACAGAGGUCUCAAGCGUUGUUCGGAUUCAUUGGGCGUAAAGGGCGCGUAGGCUGCGGGGCAAGUCGGGUGUGAAAUCUCAGAGCUCAACUCUGAAACUGCACUCGAUACUGCUUUGCUUGAGGACUGGAGAGGAGAUUGGAAUUCACGGUGUAGCAGUGAAAUGCGUAGAUAUCGUGAGGAAGACCAGUGGCGAAGGCGGAUCUCUGGACAGUUCCUGACGCUGGAGGCGAGCCGGAAGGCCAAGGGGAGGCAAAC